rfam:Mustela putorius furo unplaced genomic scaffold scaffold00162, whole genome shotgun sequence.
AUCGCUUCUCGGCCUUUUGGCUAAGAUCAAGUGUAGUUUCCUGAGGCUUCAUUACCACAACCUGAUUUAAGACAAGUUAGUAUUUCCUUGCAGUUCAGGAAACCAAAGCGUUCAGGGCUGGUUCCAGCUAGAGGCUGAAGAAUUUGUUCCUGCUGCUCUCCUAGCUUCUGGCAGUAGUCGGUUCUU